CAGUGAGAGCUGAAGCAGCCACUUGGAACCCAGAGACAGAUGCCCGACAUUGACUGUGGCACAGCUGCCCGCCAGCCCUGCACCUCUCCUCUCCAGACCGAGAGCUCGCGUUGAUGUCAACAAAGCAAGAUUUGUGCUCUGGGCAGUCGGAAUAGAGUCAGUUUCCAGCCAGCCGAGUUCUCUGACUCCCUGAGAAGGAAAGGGUCUGAAAUUGAGCAUAUGGGAAGGCUCUGUUCAUUCUUUCCUGAGGCCCAGGAGUAGCUGAGUUGCAGUGUGUGCCAUGCCGCGAGGGAGCUUCCCCUGCUGAAGCUGGUUUGUUCCACUGGACAAUGCAGCCUUUUCUGCUUGACUGUCUCUCUGGGCACAUACACAACGACAUGGUGCAGGGGA